AUUGAACGCUGGCGGCAGGCCUAACACAUGCAAGUCGAGCGAGCGGCGGACGGGUGAGUAAUGUAUGGGGACUGCCCGAUAGCGGGGGAUAACUACUGGAAACGGUGGCUAAUACCGCAUACCAUCGGAUAACCCAUUUUGGAUUAGUUAGUAGGUAGGGUAAAGGCUCACCUAGGCGACGAUCUCUAGCUGGUCUGAGAGGAUGAUCACCAGGACUGGGACUGAGACGCGGCCCAGACUCAGACGGAGGCAGCAGGGUUGAAUAUUGCACAAGGGGGGCAAGCCUGAUGCAGCCAUGCCAGGUGUAUGAAGAAGGCCUUAGGGUUGUAAAGUACGUUCAGCGGGGAGGCGUUAACCGCAGAAGAAGCACCGGCUAACUCAGUGCCAGCAGCCGCAGUAAUAC
rnacentral:rRNA from 1 species